GCGGGCCGUGAGAGCGGGAGCCCGGAGAUGGGCACUGAGACAAGGGCCCAGGCCCUACGGGGCGCAGCAGUCGCGAAAACUUUGCAAUAAGCGAAAGCUUGACAGGGCUAUCCCGAGUGCCAUCCGCUGAGGAAGGCUUUUACCCAGUCUAGAACGCUGGGGGAAUAAGGAGAGGGCAAGUCUGGUGUCAGCCGCCGCGGUAAUACCAGCUCUCCGAGUGGUGUGGAUGUUUAUUGGGCCUAAAGCAUCCGUAGCUGGCUAAGUUAGUCCCUUGUUAAAUCCACCGAAUUAAUCGUUGGAUUGCGGGGGAUACUGCUUGGCUAGGGGACGAGAGAGGCAGACGGUAUUUCCGGGGUAGGGGUGAAAUCCUAUAAUCCCGGGAAGACCACCAGU
rnacentral:rRNA from 1 species